UUUGUGCGAUGAAUCCCGAUAGGGAAAAUGCUUGUUGAAUUUGGUUAGAGAUGCCCAUUGUGUUGCGCUGUACUGUGGCGCAUCAUGGGGUUUUCGAGCUUCCUCCCCUCUCCCCGCAUGUAUAUCCCAGGCUUCGGUUAUCCAUUGCUGUGGUUGGCUGGGGGGGCGGCUUGUUCCUUGCCCUCGAUUGUGCAGUCCAUGCAAACAUAGAAUGUCGGUGCCGUUUGGCCCUCGUCUGGGUGUUCUCAGUUGGAAGCUACUAUGAUAUGCAUUCUAGGCUAGCCAUGACCUCAUUUGCUGUGUCGUGGUUGAGCUUGGAGCUUGCAUGUAGAGGAGUGCUACCUGGUUGAUCCUGCCAGUAGUCAUAUGCUUGUCUCAAAGAUUAAGCCAUGCAUGUG
rnacentral:misc_RNA from 1 species